rnacentral:rRNA from 1 species
GAUGAACGCUGGCGGCGUGCCUAAUACAUGCAAGUCGAGCGAACAGAUAAGGAGCUUGCUCCUUUGACGUUAGCGGCGGACGGGUGAGUAACACGUGGGUAACCUACCUAUAAGACUGGUAUAACCCCGGGAAACCGGGGCUAAUGCCGGAUAACAUUUAGAACCGCAUGGUUCUAAAGUGAAAGAUGGUUUUGCUAUCACUUAUAGAUGGACCCGCGCUGUAUUAGCUAGUUGGUAAGGUAACGGCUUACCACGGCAACGAUACGUAGCCGACCUGAGAGGGUGAUAGGCCACACGAGAACUGGGACACGGUCCAGACUCCUGCGGGAGGCAGCAGUAGGGAAUCUGCCGCAGUGGGCGAAAGCCUGACGGAGCAACGCCGCGUGAGAGAUGAAGGUCUUCGGAUCGUAAAACUCUGUUAUUAGGGAAGAACAAAUGUGUAAGUAACUGUACACGUCUUGACGGUACCUAAUCAGAAAGCCACGGCUAACUACGUG